AAAGUACUCCCUCCAUCCCAAAAUUCUUGUUUUAGAUUUGUCUAGAUAUGGAUGUAUCAAGUCACAUUUUAGUAUUAGAUACAUCCGUAUCUAGACAAAUCUAAGACAAGAAUUUUGGGAUAGAGGGAGUGGUUG
rnacentral:pre_miRNA from 1 species